GCAUAUCAAUAAGCGGAGGAAAAGAAACCAACAGGGAUUGCCCUAGUAACGGCGAGUGAAGCGGCAACAGCUCAAAUUUGAAAUCUGGCUCUCUUUGGGGGUCCGAGUUGUAAUUUGCAGAGGAUGCUUUGGCAUUGGCGGCGGUCUAAGUUCCUUGGAACAGGACAUCACAGAGGGUGAGAAUCCCGUACGUGGUCGCCUGCCCUUGCCGUGUAAAGCUCCUUCGACGAGUCGAGUUGUUUGGGAAUGCAGCUCUAAAUGGGAGGUAAAUUUCUUCUAAAGCUAAAUACUGGCCAGAGACCGAUAGCGCACAAGUAGAGUGAUCGAAAGAUGAAAAGUACUUUGGAAAGAGAGUCAAAAAGCACGUGAAAUUGUUGAAAGGGAAGCGCUUGCAGCCAGACUUGCCCGCAGUUGCUCACCUAGGCUUUCGCCUGGGGCACUCUUCUGCGGGCAGGCCAGCAUCAGUUUGGGCGGUUGGAUAAAGGCCUCUGUCACGUAUCUCCCUUCGGGGUGACCUUAUAGGGGAGGCGCAAUGCAACCAGCCCGGACUGAGGUCCGCGCAUCUGCUAGGAUGCUGGCGUAAUGGCUGUAAGCGGCCCGUCUUGAAACACGGACCAAGGAGUCUAACAUCUAUGCGAGUGUUUGGGUGUCAAGCCCGAGCGCGCAAUGAAAGUGAACGGAGGUGGGAACCCUUUGGGUGCACCAUCGACCGAUCCUGAUGUCUUCGGAUGGAUUUGAGUAAGAGCAUAGCUGUUGGGACCCGAAAGAUGGUGAACUAUGCUUGAAUAGGGUGAAGCCAGAGGAAACUCUGGUGGAGGCUCGCAGCGGUUCUGACGUGCAAAUCGAUCGUCAAAUUUGGGCAUAGGGGCGAAAGACUAAUCGAACCAUCUAGUAGCUGG
rnacentral:rRNA from 1 species